rnacentral:rRNA from 1 species
AACGGCCGUACCAUGCUGAAUAUACCGGUUCUCGUUAGAUCACCGAAGUUAAGCAUCAUUGGGCGCGGUCAGUACUUGGGUGGGUGACCACCUGAGAAUACUGCGUGCCGUU